UACAGAGGUCCCAAGCGUUGUUCGGAUUCACUGGGCGUAAAGGGCGCGUAGGCGGCUUGUACAGUCAGGCGUGAAAUUCCCGGGCUCAACCUGGGGGCUGCGCUUGAGACGUGCGAUCUUGAGUGGGGAAGAGGGUCGUGGAAUUCCCAGUGUAGAGGUGAAAUUCGUAGAUAUUGGGAAGAACACCGGUGGCGAAGGCGGCGACCUGGUCCUUGACUGACGCUGAGGCGCGAAAGCGUGGGGAGCAAACAGG
rnacentral:rRNA from 1 species